UCCUCUUAUCCCCAGGACGUAUCUAGAAAAUUUGUUCCCCUUUCUCUCUCCCAAUCCCUCACGUUUCCUCCCCACGUACAAUUGUCUCUCUCCCAUCAGAAACAAUGUAGCCACACCACGGGCCGGAGAUUUGUGGUGGCAGGCAGCGAGAAAGCAGGUGGUGACCACGGUGAGCGGUUGCCGGUGGAAAGAGAGGAGGUCGUAGGUGGCCGGCGGCCGGUGGCGGGAGGGGAUGCAACAGCCGGACUCGAUGAUGAUGGGGAGAAGGUCUUUGAUGGCUUCGACGCCAAGCAGCACUGGCCGGUGAGGCCCAAUCCUCCUCAUCCCUACCCCCUUUCUCAACAGCACCCACACAAGCGACAGCGCCAUCCUCCUCUUCCAUCUCGGGCACGGCGGCACGAUGGUACAGGACACCGAACAAAACCGAUGGGAGUAGCUUGCGCAGGCGGACGAGGGAACCCGAGAGCGAUGACGGAGGCGGACCAUGACGGAGAUGGGCCUGGCGUUCGUCGUGCAGCCGGGGUCUAACGGCAAGCGGCGGCACGACGACCGUGAGCGCUUUCCCAACGUCGGCCAGGCCUUCUCCUCCACCGGAUCUGGAGAGAGAGCUGACGGUGCCGCCUUCACAUCUACCAGGAGCCAUGGUUGGGUGUAUGCUCCUCUUUCCCCGCUACUCAUCUCAUCCCCUUCCCUCCUCCCAAGUUUUUUCUCGGUUAUUUUCACUUCUUCCCCGUGAAAAGAACCAUUCUUGCACAGAGCAGCUACUAGACUACUACCGUCUCCCUGAACAUAGCCAGACAGGUGAGAUGUGCAAGGUUCGCUAUGGUUAACAUCAGUUAGCUAAUAACUGAUAGUAUUUUGAUUUCUUUCUAAUGUGAUUGAUAACAAAUUCUCCCCUUUCUGAAGCAACGCUUUCACUUCUUUGAUCAGCGUUGCAUAGCAUGAUCUGUUGGAUUCUGACUUCGGAUCAUUUUCUCUGCAUUACCAUCCGAUACAACGUACGUCGGUGACUCUAUUUCCAGUCCUCUGCUUCCGCACACUGAAGUCUGAAGUGCCGCCGACGAGCUACAAGAUACUUGAAUGCAGAACCGUGGUUGAGACCACUUGCCAACCGAUCAGGGGCAGCAAGGUCGAUGCCUUCUUUCGGAGGACAAAGUUCAGCUUUAUUAUCGUCCAUGUAGCAAAGGUGCGGGCAACCAAUAAGAUAACGCCGCAAUCUGAAUUUGUAGCCACUGCACCGACGCUGGCGAGGCUGGCUUCCAGAGUUGCUGCAGAAAAGUAAGAUGAGUAAGGUCUCUGAUACUGGACAUAGAUUGUGAUCUCUUGAUUAGUCUGCUAAAUCUCUCAGGAGUCGGGAGUAUGUGAGUACACAUUAUUGAAUGUGUCCACUACUAUGAAACCAUGUAGCUAAAUCAGGUACAUCUCUUUGCAUCUAUCAAAAACUUUGGAGUUCGUAUUGGCUCCAGUGAAUACAUGCAUCCUAAACUGAAUACUUGCUCAACUGAGAUAACACGCGCAUUUACAAAUCUGAAUUCUGACUGGUAUGACACAGCACGUAUUUUUCAAAAUGGCAAACUUCGAAAUGCACACAACUUCAUGUUAAAGGUAGAUACUGCAACAAUUCAGCCAAGUAUGCAGAGUCCAAUUUAUUUGAUUGCUUGAGGAAUUAAGGUAACACGUUUAUGUAUCAAGGUUUGUUCCUUUCUUUUUUGUCUCAGAUAAUCAACUUAAGGCAUUCGAGAUAGUGAAUAGAUUUCCGUACUAUUAAAUUAAGAACUACUUAUUUUUUCAAUUUCGUUACAGAUACUCAGCAAAUUUUGUUUAUUGCACCUUGCUUCUAUGGAUGUAAAUUGCUAGCUACAUCAAAUGUAUUGGCUAAGAAAAUUUAAAGCUUUAUCGGUGAGUGGAGAUGUGGAUGUCUCUCUGUAAAAACAUCUUCCUCUUUGAACCGUCACUUGGUGAUUGGAAACAAAAACUCAAAUAUGUCGAGCUGCAUAAACAUUGUUCUUCUAUAGCUACGGUAGGUUCAAUACUUCUGUCGGAUCAUGAUCAGUUUAUCUGAGCUGCGGUGCAUACAUUUUUGUGUAUACACAUUUUUAGCUAUGCUUGCUUAAGAUUCAAGGGGUUUUUAUUGACACAUCUCUUACUUGCAUGCCUAAUAUGUUGCUUUUCAGAUGGUACAAGUGUGAGAUUGAACUGAGCUUUUGCCAUUCAUAAAGAUUCUAAUGUGCUUCUAUACAUAGAGAUAAUGAUGUAACAUCAUUUUUUCUGGUGUUUGAGAUUCGUGUUGCAUGUCCAACUGGUAUCAUUCAAGGCUGAAAUCUGACUCCAACAUAUGGUGAAACAAUUUCAGGACACCCUGAUCAAAAGGCUUUGUCACCACCAUUGUUUAAAUGGCUAACGACUGAGUACUUUCUCAGCCAAGGGAACAUCUAUUAUGCAAAUGAAUAUUAGGUUUACUGGAUCAAGAUGAUGUAACUUCAUGUAAGAGAACAUUUUUAUUUUUCUUCCUAUGACUUCUAAAAAGAUUGUCGGUCCAUUUUUUUUUUUUUGAAUAAGAAGUUAUAUAGAUGUUUGCUCAAAUAUGUAGUGAGCUUACUUUUAUGUGACAUCACAUUGUCAGUUAAAGUCUACAUGUCAUUUUUAUUUUCCUUGA